CAGCCGCCACGGUAAUACAGAGGAUGCAAGCGUUAUCCGGAAUUAUUGGGCGUAAAGCGCGCGCAGGUGGUUUAAUAAGUCUGAUGUGAAAGCCCACGGCUCAACCGUGGAGGGUCAUUGGAAACUGUUAAACUUGAGUGCAGGAGAGAAAAGUGGAAUUCCUAGUGUAGCGGUGAAAUGCGUAGAGAUUAGGAGGAACACCAGUGGCGAAGGCGGCUUUUUGGCCUGUAACUGACACUGAGGCGCGAAAGCGUGGGGAGCAAACAGGAUUAGAUACCCGAGUAGUCCCUGUCUCUUAUAC
rnacentral:rRNA from 1 species